rnacentral:pre_miRNA from 1 species
AGGAACAGCAGCACUGGCAGCGGCCAGCUCUGGAGCCCUGGAGUCAGCUCCCGCAGGAACUCCGGAGCUCUCCGUCUGCAGGGCCUGGAGGCUCCGGCGCGGG